UUGAACGCUGGCGGCAGGCCUAACACAUGCAAGUCGAGCGGCAGCGCGGGGCAACCUGGCGGCGAGCGGCGGACGGGUGAGUAACGCGUAGGAUUCUACCCAGUAGCGGGGGAUAGCCCGGGGAAACUCGGAUUAAUACCGCAUACGCCCUAAGGGGGAAAGCAGGGGAUCGUAAGACCUUGCACUAUUGGAAGAGCCUGCGUUGGAUUAGCUAGUUGGUAGGGUAAAGGCCUACCAAGGCGACGAUCCAUAACUGGUCUGAGAGGAUGAUCAGUCACACCGGAACGGAGACACGGUCCGGCCUCCUACGGGAGGCAGCAGUGGGGAAUAUUGGACAAUGGGGGCAACCCUGAUCCAGCCAUGCCGCGUGUGUGAAGAAGGCCGUCGGGUUGUAAAGCACUUUAAGUGGGGAGAAAGGUUCGGCAGCUAAUACCUGCCGGAAGUGAUGUUACCCACAGAAUAAGCACCGGCUAACUCUGUGCCAGCCGCCGCCGUAA
rnacentral:rRNA from 1 species